rnacentral:rRNA from 1 species
GGCAACCCUGAGUAGAGUGGCGGACGGGUGAGAAACGCGUAGGAAUCUACCUCGUAGUGGGGGACAACCCGGCGAAAGCCAGGCUAAUACCGCAUACGAUCCACGGAUGAAAGCAGGGGACCGCAAGGCCUUGCGCUAUGAGAUGAGCCUGCGUCGGAUUAGCUAGUUGGUGAGGUAACGGCUCACCAAGGCAACGAUCCGUAGCUGGUUUGAGAGAACGACCAGCCACACUGGGACUGAGACACGGCCCAGACUCCUACGGGAGGCAGCAGUGGGGAAUAUUGGACAAUGGGGGCAACCCUGAUCCAGCAAUGCCGCGUGUGUGAAGAAGGCCUUCGGGUUGUAAAGCACUUUCGAUGGGGAAAAACAAGCUAGACCUAACACGUCUGGCCCUGAUGGUACCCAGAGAAGAAGCACCGGCUAACUCUGUGCCAGCAGCCGCGGUAAUACAGAGGGUGCAAGCGUUAAUCGGAAUUACUGGGCGUAAAGGGUGCGUAGGUGGUUUGUUAAGUCAAGUGUGAAAUCCCUGGGCUCAACCUGGGAACUGCAUUUGAUACUGGCAGACUCGAGUCUGGUAGAGGGUGGUGGAAUUCCGCAUGUAGCGGUGAAAUGCGUAGAGAUGCGGAGGAACAUCAGUGGCGAAGGCGGCCACCUGGACCAAGACUGACACUGAGGCACGA